rnacentral:rRNA from 1 species
UACGUAGGGUGCGAGCGUUAAUCGGAAUUACUGGGCGUAAAGUGUGCGCAGGCGGCCGCGCAAGUCGAGUGUGAAAGCCCCGGGCUUAACUUGGGAAUUGCGCUCGAAACUACGUGGCUGGAGUGUGGCAGAGGAAGGUGGAAUUCCACGUGUAGCGGUGAAAUGCGUAGGAGAAUGUGGAGGAAUACCAAUGGCGAAGGCAGCCCCCUGGGCUAACACUGACGCUCAGGCACGAAAGCGUGGGGAGCAAACAGG